GGGUAUAGCUCAGUGGUUGAGUAUUCGACUGCAGAUCGAGUGGUCCCCAGUUCGAACCGGGAGACUUCUUCA